GACAGGUCCCAGGUCCCCACAGCCUCAUCUGUCCAUCUGUGAUAAUAAUCAGUGCUGGUGUCCCAGCGAUCAUAUAACAUAGUACAGUGAGGAGGGUCAGGAGGGGGGCAGUAGGGAGCAUGGUGAUGGAUCCAGGGGGACCAUUGAGCAUACAGGGUGAGCAGUGACUGUGGUGAAGGUGUGAGGUCAUCCAAAAGAAGCCAGAAUAUACGUGCAUGUUCAGUUUGCAUGCUGGGUGGAGAAGCAGGAGGGGUGGAAAGAAGCCAUUGUCCAUGUGAGGCAGAAUGAAUGAGACCAGAGUUACAGUCCACUAUAUUUCCAUUAGGGAAUCUGACAGUCACUCCAUCUAGAGAACAAAGAAUUUCUGCCCUCAGCUUAGUGAGGAUGUCUCUGCCCAUCAGUGGAACAGGACAGUGUGGAGAGGAAACAUAGCGAUGUUCAAAAUGAUAUCCAGCUGCCUCGACAGAGAAAGGGGCAGUUGGUGGCA